UACGUAGGGUGCAAGCGUUGUCCGGAAUUAUUGGGCGUAAAGAGUUCGUAGGCGGUUUGUCGCGUCGUUUGUGAAAACCCGGGGCUCAACUUCGGGCUUGCAGGCGAUACGGGCAGACUUGAGUGUUUCAGGGGAGACUGGGAUUCCUGGUGUAGCGGUGAAAUGCGCAGAUAUCAGGAGGAACACCGGUGGCGAAGGCGGGUCUCUGGGCAAUUCCUGACGCUGAGGCGCGAAAGCGUGGGGAGCAAACGGG
rnacentral:rRNA from 1 species